ACUAACAAUGGCGAGUCGUCGACUCAUCCUUUUACUUUCUCUCUCUUCUCUUCUUCUAUUCUCUCUCUACUUGACUGCAUCCGCCAGCGCAGCAGAUGACGACGAAGACCUCAGCUUCCUUGAAGCCGACGACGAAAACGACGCGCCGAAGCACGCUUUCCAGGAAGAUGCUUUAUCCGAUGACGACGAUUUCGACGACGACGAGGAUUUUGAGAAUUACGACGAUUUUGAUGUCCCGUCGGCAUUUGAUAACGAAAAGGAUGAGGAAGAUGAAGGUCCUAAGGUAGACGAUAAGGACGUCGUCGUUUUGGCAUACAGGAACUUCAGUGACUUCGUGGAUGACAAUAAGUAUGUGAUGGUGGAGUUUUACGCGCCCUGGUGCGGGCACUGCAAGGAACUUGCGCCGGAGUAUGCUGCCGCGGCUACAGAGCUGAAGGCGGAGAAUGUGGCGUUGGCUAAAGUAGAUGCCACGUUGGAAAAUGAGUUGGCGGAGAAUUAUGAGGUUCAAGGAUUUCCUACUAUUUAUUUUUUUGUAGAUGGUGAGCAUAAAACUUACAGUGGCCAAAGAACCAAAGAUGCAAUUGUGACUUGGAUCAAGAAGAAGAUUGGAGCUGGCAUUUACAAUAUAACAACAACGGAGGAGGCAGAGCGUGUACUAACCUCUGGGAACAAAGUUGUUUUAGGGUUCCUUGAGUCGUUGGUGGGUCCUGAAUCUGAGCAGCUUGCUGCUGCUUCCAAACUUGAGGAUGAUCUUAACUUUUACCAGACGACAAAUCCUAACGUGGCUAAGCUAUUCCAUAUUGAAGAAAUUGCUAAACGCCCAGCUUUAGUCUUGCUUAAGAAGGAAGAAGAGAAAGUGAUGCAUUAUGAUGGUCAAUUCACCAAGUCUGCAAUAGCUAAGUUUGUAUCUGCCAACAAGCUACCUCUUGUGACCACUUUUACUAGAGAAAGCGGACCUUCAAUUUUCGAGAGUCCAAUAAAGAAGCAGGUUUUGCUCUUUGCCACAACAAAUGAUACGGAUAAAGUAUUCCCAACAUUUCAAGAAGCUGCAAAACUUUUCAAGGGAAAGCUUAUCUUUGUUUUUGUCAAUAUGGAUGAUGAAGAAGUUGGAAAACCAGUAUCAGAUUAUUUUGGAGCCACUGGAGAUUCUCCAAAGGUUAUUGGAUAUACAGGAAAUGAGAAUCCCAGGAAAUACAUAUUUGAUGGGGAGAUCACCGUUGAGAAGCUUAAGGCAUUUGGGGAGGAUUUUUUGGGAGACAAGCUUAGAGCUUUCUAUAAAUCAGACCCUAUUCCUGAGGAUAAUGAGGGGGACGUGAAGAUAGUAGUGGGAAACAAUUUUGAUGACAUUGUUCUAGAUGAGUCAAAAGAUGUGCUUCUGGAGAUAUAUGCACCAUGGUGUGGGCAUUGCCAAUCUCUAGAACCAACAUAUAACAAGCUCGCAAAGCACUUACGUGACAUUGAGUCUCUUGUUAUAGCCAAAAUGGACGGUACCACAAAUGAGCACCCUCGGGGAAAGGCUGAAGGAUUUCCCACAAUCCUCUUCUUCCCAGCAGGGAACAAGAGCGCGGAUCCAAUCCCAGUUGACGCUGACCGAACUGUGGUUGCGUUGUACAAGUUUAUCAAGAAACACGCGUCUAUUCCUUUCAAGCUUCCAAAACCAGCUUCCUCAACUACAUCAGAGAGUUCCGAAGCUAAGGAAGAUGCCAAGGUUGAGUCUAGCAAAGGAAAAGAUGAACUAUAGAAGUUACAUAGCCUACGUUUUUUUCUUUGUUAUUUUCCUAGCUGUUGUAGUAGGACAAGAUAGAUUGGGCUAGAAAGAUAGCCACGGAACCUAUUUUCUUUUCUUUCCUUUUAUUUCUUCUCUUGAGUUUAAAGUUUUCUCCUCCCACUAGUAAGGAUAUUGUUUAGAGAGGUUAAGGUAACAUACAUCUAGCCGAAUUUUUACAACAUGUACCAAAACGAAUAAUAAUUUAUUGUGCUUUUAUCUCAAUCUAGUUGAAGUUAGCUGUACAA